rnacentral:rRNA from 1 species
AGCUAGAGUUUGAUCAUGGCUCAGAGCGAACGCUGGCGGCAGGCUUAACACAUGCAAGUCGAGCGGGCGUAGCAAUACGUCAGCGGCAGACGGGUGAGUAACGCGUGGGAACAUACCUUUUGGUUCGGAACAACCCAGGGAAACUUGGGCUAAUACCGGAUAAGCCCUUACGGGGAAAGAUUUAUCGCCGAAAGAUUGGCCCGCGUCUGAUUAGCUAGUUGGUGAGGUAACGGCUCACCAAGGCGACGAUCAGUAGCUGGUCUGAGAGGAUGAUCAGCCACAUUGGGACUGAGACACGGCCCAAACUCCUACGGGAGGCAGCAGUGGGGAAUAUUGGACAAUGGGCGCAAGCCUGAUCCAGCCAUGCCGCGUGAGUGAUGAAGGCCCUAGGGUUGUAAAGCUCUUUUGUGCGGGAAGAUAAUGACGGUACCGCAAGAAUAAGCCCCGGCUAACUUCGUGCCAGCAGCCGCGGUA